GGGUGAUAACUUUUCUUGCUCAGUGGACUGUGAAACUUUAGCUCACUGCAACACUAGGUCACCAGCUUGAAAUUCUUUGAUCUUGACCCGAGCAUUAUAGUACUUAGCCACCCUUUGGCGAUAUGUAGCCAUUCUAACGGUGGCACGUUCUCUGCUUUCUUUGAUUAAGUUGAGAUUAGCUCAAAGUCAUACUGAGUUGGUGUUUUUAUUAUACUCCUCGACUCUGAGGAAUGAAAGCCUGAACUCCAUGGGUAUAAUUGCUUCAGUCCCAAAUGCA
rnacentral:lncRNA from 1 species